rnacentral:rRNA from 1 species
GAUGAACGCUGGCGGCGUGCUUAACACAUGCAAGUCGAACGGAAAGGCUCCUGCUUGCAGGGGCACUCGAGUGGCGAACGGGUGAGUAACACGUGGGUGAUCUGCCCUGCACUUCGGGAUAAGCCUGGGAAACUGGGUCUAAUACCGGAUAGGACCAUCGUUUAGUGUCGGUGGCGGAAAGUUUUUUCGGUGUGGGAUGAGCUCGCGGCCUAUCAGCUUGUUGGUGGGGUAAUGGCCUACCAAGGCGUCGACGGGUAGCCGGCCUGAGAGGGUGUACGGCCACAUUGGGACUGAGAUACGGCCUAGACUCCUACGGGAGGCAGCAGUGGGGAAUAUUGCACAAUGGGCGCAAGCCUGAUGCAGCGACGCCGCGUGGGGGAUGACGGCCUUCGGGUUGUAAACUCCUUUCGCCAGGGACGAAGCGAAAGUGACGGUACCUGGAGAAGAAGCACCGGCUAACUACGUG